UGCAAAACUAUUAAGUACAUACAUAUGUAAGCAUCUCAGAGCAAAUACAGAGCGAGAGAGAGUGGCAGGGAUGCCGCCUCACCUUAAAUAAAUACACUUUAAAGCUUUACAAGCACAACGUAAACCAAAUAAUGAACGUGCAUACAUACAUACAUACGUAUGUGCAUACUUGCACAAGUACGAAACCACAAAAAGCCGGUUCAAGUCAAUAAUAAAUCGCAAAAGAAAAUGUUUUCACAUUGUAUGCUUCCACACGGCAAUGAAGUCAAUGAAGAGAGAGAAAGAGAGAGAGAAGCGUGUCAGUGUGUAGCCAACCCACUGAGGAGCAUCCAACUGCGUGGCAUUAUUUGAGCGCGGAAAAACGGCGCAUUCACAAUCAACCGUUGGACGCGCGCUGUGCUAUCCGGGAGCGACAGUGUUAUUGUUAUUGUUAUUGCGAAAGAGCGGGACAAAAUGUUAAUUCUACUCAACGUCGCGUAAACGAAACGGAAAGAAAAUGCUGAUAAAACAGAAUAAUAAUAAACAAUUGGUGCAAAAGUUGAACGGAAACUGAUAAGUGCGUGCUGAGCCAAAAAGAGAUUAUAGUAUUCGACAAUUAACUGUGAAAGCGGCAACAAAUGUACAGGUACAGCUUAUAGCAGUUCCCAUUCGGGAACAUCUGUUGUCCAAAUACAGCGAAAAACGGCGUUACGCCUGUGGCUUCGUGCACGGAGUCACGGAUUGACACUUCGAUCUCCAGUAGGUAGAUGUCCCAGUCUCUGUGAUCCUUCUGCAAAUACGUCCAAAGAAGUCUAUGUCUUCUUCAUUCCACCGGGUAUAGCUGUGUGGUCUUCGUGGGCCUUCGCGAUGAGAGUUUUCGUCAGUGCCGUCCGAUGAUUUCCGUUGGGUCUAGAACCACCUCCUCGAUGCAGCGUGAUAGUGUAUCCGCCACUAUAUUUUCGACUCCCUUGCGGUGCUCGAUCACAAAGUCGAACCUCUGCAGCUGCAAUGACCAUCUCGCUAGACGCCCAAGAGCCGUGGUGAGCGCCUUCUUCAGGGAUUCUAUGUCCGCUCUUGCUUCCGUUGGCAAGAAAAACUUCCCGCGCUUCUUCAGGGCAUCGGUUAACGGUACAGCUAUGGUUGCGAAGUCCAUGAUAAAACGCCUAUACCAUUCUGCGGUUCCUAUGCAGCUCCGUAGCUCCUUCACUGAGCUCGAGUUCGGGAUCCUUUGUAUAGCCACAAACCUAUCGGAAUCCAUUUGCAGCGUGCCAUCUCCGAUUAUAAACCCCAGGCACUGGGCCACCAAUCGCAGAUAUCGCAGAUGUGUCUGGAAGUCCGGGGCUAUCACCAAAAGAUCGUCCAGAUACACGAAAACGUUUGAUCUGAGCUGAGUCGGGAUUACCUUAUCCAUCAUUCUGCAUUACCUCUGGGCAGCGUUACACAGACCGAAGGGCAUCAAGCUAUAUAAGCAGGUCAACAACCUUGCACUUACUAGUGUCUAGUGUCUUACUGUGUCAAGUGUCAACAAUGAAUCAAAUGCACCAUUUGAUAUUGCCGUUUGUGCGCACUGUUAGCCAGGAGGAACUUUUGCAUGAGAUGGACGAUGGUGUGAUCAGCUUGAUCUCGAAUCUCCAGCAUUGUGCGAGUUCUCGUUUCGUAUUGAUCUAUGAUGAACUGCACGUAUAGUGGGCUAGAGGUGGAUCCAUCAAGUGGAAGGUGCUAGCGAUAGCAGCCUUUAACUUGGAUGGGUCUAACAUUCACUUUCUGCACUUGAAACUGGCCUUGGGAUCAAAAGAUGUCAUGGGCAGGGAUGCAAUAUACAAAAGUGUCUCCAUGGUGCUGGACAACAUUGAGGCAUAUGGAUACGGCCCGAGAUUGAUGGCCGCGCCGAAAAUUUGCUUGCAAAGAUGGACGCCGCCCAGAGGUACCCUAUGCUCUGGGAUGUCGCUCACCUGCGCAAGCUUUUGGCGAAGGAAUACGACGUGAUGGACACGGCCGACGAUUGGCGAUACGCGUUAUAUCCGUCUUUUCAUCAGGAGCAGGAGGAUAUACGGCACUAUCUUGGAAAGGAGGUGGAACAGAUGAAAAGGCUGGUUGGCCGGGUAUGCUCAUACCCGGAGACAGCAUAUAUAAGCAUAUAUAUUAUAUGUAUGUAAAGCAUGUAUAUAGAAUAUAC